GACGGGGGGUCCUAGCGUUGUUCGGAAUUAUUGGGCGUAAAGCGUGUGCAGGCGGUUCGGAAAGUUGGGUGUGAAAUCCUUGGGCUUAACCCAAGACGUGCAUUCAAAACUUCCAAACUUGAAUAUGGGAGAGGGUCGUGGAAUUCCAGGUGUAGUGGUGAAAUACGUAGAUAUCUGGAGGAACACCGGUGGCGAAGGCGGCGACCUGGCCCAAUAUUGACGCUCAUACACGAAAGCGUGGGGAU
rnacentral:rRNA from 1 species